CCCUUAGAUGUUCUGGGCUGCACGCGCGCUACACUGAAGCGUUCAACGAGUAUUUCACCUUGCCCGGGAGGGUUGGGUAAUCUUUUUAAAACGCUUCGUGAUGGGGAUAGAUUAUUGCAAUUAUUAAUCUUCAACGAGGAAUUCCUAGUAAGCGCGAGUCAUCAGCUCGUGCUGAUUACGUCCCUGCCCUUUGUACACACCGCCCGUCGCUCCUACCGAUCGAGUGAUCCGGUGAAUAAUUCGGACUGCAGCAGUGCUUGGUCCUCCGGGCUUUGCAGCGGAAAGUUUAGUGAACCUUAUCACUUAGAGGAAGGAGAAGUCGUAACA
rnacentral:rRNA from 1 species